AGGACCUAAGAGCCAUUCUUUGAAAUGUAAACUUUAGAAGGAGAUGUUUCUCAUCAAAAGAAAACAAAGGGUCACUCAAAAAAGUUUACUGGUACAACCAAUGACAUCACCAGAGACAUUCAAACUGCAAACCAGCAAAUCCGUCACAUUGGCACUGCCUGCUCUCACCCCAUCUGAAGAUGCUUCCAGACUGACAUCUAGCAAUCCCGAUUGGUAGCUCUCAGGACUCAGACGCUGAAUAAAGGCCUAAUUUGGGGAUCCCACCUGCAUCACCUGCCUCCUGAAAUAAGGUAACAACUGUUUAACUGAAAAUAGCUAUUCUCAAGACUGAGACUGGUUCAGUGAGUUCCAGAACCAUCUAUCAACUUAGCUUCUAGACUGCGAAACUUCUUAUUUGAAGUUUCAAAGGUAGGACUGAAGGGGAACAGAUUUGCCAUUCCCAAAUAUGCCUCAUGGGCAUGUUGAUUAUUUUAAACUGGUUAUUAUUAUUAUUUUUUUAAAGCAAUGGACGUAGAACAAGUUCUAAAAACUGAGUAGAAGUUACCCUUUUGUAAGAGAUUUACAGCUUUAAGGGAAAUCUCCACAUGUAAGGGUGUCUUCCUCACUGUACUAGGAAGAGAGGGAUAAAUCAAUCCCUGGAAAUUAUUUUUUUAUUACAUGUUUUAUUUUAAUUCCACUAUAGUUAACAGUGUUGUAUACUUUCAGGUGUACAAUACAGUUCUAGAAACUCUUACCAGUGGAGAAGGCAAUGACUUAAAUCUGCACAACAUCCUUACCUUUGUCUGCUGUGCUUUUCCCAGUAACCUCCCAUAACGGACUCCAAUCCCCAACAUCUGCUUUUAUCUUUAGCUGAAGAUGGUAUUUAAGGUGAUGGCUUCAGCUCAACAUUUGAAAUGCUCAA